rnacentral:rRNA from 1 species
CCUACGGGGCGCAGCAGUAGGGAAUUUUCGUCAAUGGGCGCAAGCCUGAACGAGCAAUGCCGCGUGAACGAGGAAGGUCUUCGGAUCGUAAAGUUCUGUUGACGGGGAAAAAGAGCGGAGAGAGGAAAUGGUCUCCGAUUGAUAUUACCCUUCGAGGAAGUCACGGCUAACUACGUGCCAGCAGCCGCGGUAAUACGUAGGUGGCAAGCGUUAUCCGGAUUUACUGGGUGUAAAGGGCGUGUAGGCGGUAAAGCAAGUCAGAUGUGAAAACCACGGGCUCAACCUGUG